rnacentral:rRNA from 11 species
AAGACCGUACCCCAAACCGACACAGGUGGUCAGGUAGAGAAUACCAAGGCGCUUGAGAGAACUAUGUUGAAGGAACUCGGCAAAUUGCACGCGUAACUUCGGAAGAAGCGUGACCCCAUUUUAGGCAACUAUGAUGGGGUGGCACAGACCAGGGGGUAGCGACUGUUUAUCAAAAACACAGGGCUCUGCAAAAUCGAAAGAUGAAGUAUAGGGCCUGACACCUGCCCGGUGCUGG